rnacentral:ncRNA from 2 species
GAGUCUUGAUCGGGAGAGGGUUGCGAGCGAAUUCGCCAGCGCAGCCGCCGAAGGGGCACUACCCAAAAACUCUCAGGCAAAAGGACCGAUCAAGGGAC